rnacentral:tRNA from 1 species
GGGAAUGUAGCUUAGUGGUAGAGUACUUGCCUAGCAUGCAUGAAGCCCUGGGUUCAAUUCCUCAGUACCA